UACGUAGGGCGCAAGCGUUGUCCGGAAUUAUUGGGCGUAAAGAGCUCGUAGGCGGCUUGUUACGUCGGGUGUGAAAGCUUGGGGCUUAACUCCAGGUCUGCAUUCGAUACGGGCUGGCUAGAGGUAGGUAGGGGAGAACGGAAUUCCUGGUGUAGCGGUGAAAUGCGCAGAUAUCAGGAGGAACACCGAUGGCGAAGGCAGGUCUCUGGGCAGUAACUGACGCUGAGGAGCGAAAGCAUGGGGAGCGAACAGG
rnacentral:rRNA from 1 species